AAAAGGAUUCAUCUAAAAAGUAUGAUCCUUUUCUACCCAUGGUGGCUAACAUGGUUCUAUGGGGGCUGUGGGUUCUUUGAACGCUCCCCCAAUUCGGUGCUCGAUACUACUCCCAAAAAUGUACUGGCUCUUAUGUUUUUAAAACAUAUUUCUUCCUGCUGAUAUGAGAUAAUUACUCAAAAACUUGCCCGAAGGCUCUUUUGGAAAUCUCAGUUUCCA
rnacentral:lncRNA from 1 species